rnacentral:rRNA from 1 species
UACGUAGGGGGCUAGCGUUGUCCGGAAUCAUUGGGCGUAAAGCGCGUGUAGGCGGUCCGGUAAGUCCGCUGUGAAAGUCGGGGGCUCAACCCUCGGAUGCCGGUGGAUACUGUCGGGCUUGAGUACGGAAGAGGCGAGUGGAAUUCCUGGUGUAGUGGUGGAAUGCGUAGAUAUCGGGAGGAACACCAGUGGCGAAGGCGGCUUCCUGGACCUGUUCUGACGCUGAGGAGCGAAAGCGUGGGGAGCGAUCCGG